rnacentral:rRNA from 1 species
GUGAACUCGAAGAGUAGGGCGGGACACGUGGUAUCCUGUCUGAAUAUGGGGGGACCAUCCUCCAAGGCUAAAUACUCCUGACUGACCGAUAGUGAACCAGUACCGUGAGGGAAAGGCGAAAAGAACCCCGGCGAGGGGAGUGAAAAAGAACCUGAAACCGUGUACGUACAAGCAGUGGGAGCACCUUCGGGUGUGACUGCGUACCUUUUGUAUAAUGGGUCAGCGACUUAUAUUCUGUAGCAAGGUUAACCGUAUAGGGGAGCCGCAGGGAAACCGAGUCUUAACUGGGCGUUAAGUUGCAGGGUAUAGACCCGAAACCCGGUGAUCUAGCCAUGGGCAGGUUGAAGGUUGGGUAACACUAACUGGAGGACCGAACCGACUAAUGUUGAAAAAUUAGCGGAUGACUUGUGGCUGGGGGUGAAAGGCCAAUCAAACCGGGAGAUAGCUGGUUCUCCCCGAAAGCUAUUUAGGUAGCGCCUCGUGAACUCAUCUUCGGGGGUAGAGCACUGUUUCGGCUAGGGGGUCAUCCCGACUUACCAACCCGAUGCAAACUACGAAUACCGAAGAAUGUUAUCACGGGAGACACACGGCGGGUGCUAACGUCCGUCGUGAAGAGGGAAACAACCCAGACCGCCAGCUAAGGUCCCAAAGUCAUGGUUAAGUGGGAAACGAUGUGGGAAGGCACAGACAGCCAGGAUGUUGGCUUAGAAGCAGCCAUCAUUUAAAGAAAGCGUAAUAGCUCACUGGUCGAGUCGGCCUGCGCGGAAGAUGUAACGGGGCUAAACCAUGCACCGAAGCUGCGGCAGCGACACUAUGUGUUGUUGGGUAGGGGAGCGUUCUGUAAGCCUGCGAAGGUGUGCUGUGAGGCAUGCUGGAGGUAUCAGAAGUGCGAAUGCUGACAUAAGUAACGAUAAAGCGGGUGAAAAGCCCGCUCGCCGGAAGACCAAGGGUUCCUGUCCAACGUUAAUCGGGGCAGGGUGAGUCGACCCCUAAGGCGAGGCCGAAAGGCGUAGUCGAUGGGAAACAGGUUAAUAUUCCUGUACUUGGUGUUACUGCGAAGGGGGGACGGAGAAGGCUAUGUUAGCCGGGCGACGGUUGUCCCGGUUUAAGCAUGUAGGCUGAUUGUCCAGGCAAAUCCGGAUAAUCAAGGCUGAGGUGUGAUGACGAGGCACUACGGUGCUGAAGUAACAAAUGCCCUGCUUCCAGGAAAAGCCUCUAAGGAUCAGGUAACAUCAAAUCGUACCCCAACCCGACACAGGUGGUCAGGUAGAGUAUACCAAGGCGCUUGAGAGAACUCGGGUGAAGGAACUAGGCAAAAUGGUGCCGUAACUUCGGGAGAAGGCACGCUGGUGUGUAGGUGAAGCCCCUGCGGGUGGAGCUGAGACCAGUCGAAGAUACCAGCUGGCUGCAACUGUUUAUUAAAAACACAGCACUGUGCAAACACGAAAGUGGACGUAUACGGUGUGACGCCUGCCCGGUGCCGGAAGGUUAAUUGAUGGGGUUAUCCGUAAGGAGAAGCUCUUGAUCGAAGCCCCGGUAAACGGCGGCCGUAACUAUAACGGUCCUAAGGUAGCGAAAUUCCUUGUCGGGUAAGUUCCGACCUGCACGAAUGGCGUAAUGAUGGCCAGGCUGUCUCCACCCGAGACUCAGUGAAAUUGAACUCGCUGUGAAGAUGCAGUGUACCCGCGGCAAGACGGAAAGACCCCGUGAACCUUUACUAUAGCUUGACACUGAACAUUGAGCCUUGAUGUGUAGGAUAGGUGGGAGGCUUUGAAGCGUGGACGCCAGUCUGCGUGGAGCCAACCUUGAAAUACCACCCUUUAAUGUUUGAUGUUCUAACGUUGGCCCCUGACCGGGGUUGCGGACAGUGUCUGGUGGGUAGUUUGACUGGGGCGGUCUCCUCCCAAAGCGUAACGGAGGAGCACGAAGGUAGCUAAUCCUGGUCGGACAUCAGGAGGUUAGUGCAAUGGCAUAAGCUAGCUUGACUGCGAGCGUGACGGCGCGAGCAGGUGCGAAAGCAGGUCAUAGUGAUCCGGUGGUUCUGAAUGGAAGGGCCAUCGCUCAACGGAUAAAAGGUACUCCGGGGAUAACAGGCUGAUACCGCCCAAGAGUUCAUAUCGACGGCGGUGUUUGGCACCUCGAUGUCGGCUCAUCACAUCCUGGGGCUGAAGUAGGUCCCAAGGGUAUGGCUGUUCGCCAUUUAAAGUGGUACGCGAGCUGGGUUUAGAACGUCGUGAGACAGUUCGGUCCCUAUCUGCCGUGGGCGCUGGAGAAUUGAGGGGGGCUGCUCCUAGUACGAGAGGACCGGAGUGGACGCAUCACUGGUGUUCGGGUUGUCAUGCCAAUGGCACUGCCCGGUAGCUAAAUGCGGAAGAGAUAAGUGCUGAAAGCAUCUAAGCACGAAACUUGCCCCGAGAUGAGUUCUCCCUGAGACUUUAAGUCUCCUGAAGGAACGUUGAAGACGAUGACGUUGAUAGGCCGGGUGUGUAAGCGCAGCGAUGCGUUGAGCUAACCGGUACUAAUGAACCGUGAGGCUUAACC